rnacentral:rRNA from 1 species
GCCGGCGACCAUACCACGUUGAAAGCACCGGUUCUCGUCCGGUCACCGCAGCGUCGGGCCCGGUCAGUACUUGUAUGCGUAACCGGUUGGGAAUGCCGGGUAUCGCCGGCC